rnacentral:tRNA from 1 species
UCCCUGGAGGUCUAGUGGUUAGGCCACAGCGCUCUCACCGCUGUGGCCCAGGUUCAAUUCCCAGCUAGGGAA